rnacentral:rRNA from 1 species
UCUGCUCAAUGAAAAUUAAAUAGCCGCAAUUAUAUUGUGCUAAGGUAGCAUAAUCAUUCGUUUUUUAAUUGAAAACUAGAAUAAACGAUUUCACAUUUAAUUUAUUUUUUUAAAUUUAAAUUUAAAAAUUUUUCUAAAUAUUAAAAAAUAUUUAUAAAUCAAAAAGACAAUAAGACCCUAUUAAACUUCACUAAAGUUUAACUGGGAAAGUUAAUUAAUUAUUAUUUUAAUAAAAAUAAAUUUCAUCUUCCAAAAUAUUUGAAUAAAAAGUUACUAUAGGGAUAACAGCGUAAUAAUUUUUUAAAGAUCUUAUUUAAAAAAAAGUUUACGACCUCGAUGUUGAAUUAUUCUUCUUAUUGAUGCAAGCAUUUAUAAAGAAAGUCUGUUCGACUUUUAAUUAAUUACAUGAUCUGAGUUCAAACCGGAG